rnacentral:rRNA from 1 species
UUGCUUCUCUUGAGAGCGGCGGACGGGUGAGUAAUGCCUAGGAAUCUGCCUGGUAGUGGGGGAUAACGUUCGGAAACGGACGCUAAUACCGCAUACGUCCUACGGGAGAAAGCAGGGGACCUUCGGGCCUUGCGCUAUCAGAUGAGCCUAGGUCGGAUUAGCUAGUUGGUGGGGUAAUGGCUCACCAAGGCGACGAUCCGUAACUGGUCUGAGAGGAUGAUCAGUCACACUGGAACUGAGACACGGUCCAGACUCCUACGGGAGGCAGCAGUGGGGAAUAUUGGACAAUGGGCGAAAGCCUGAUCCAGCCAUGCCGCGUGUGUGAAGAAGGUCUUCGGAUUGUAAAGCACUUUAAGUUGGGAGGAAGGGUUGUAGAUUAAUACUCUGCAAUUUUGACGUUACCGACAGAAUAAGCACCGGCUAACUCUGUGCCAGCAGCCGCGGUAAUACAGAGGGUGCAAGCGUUAAUCGGAAUUACUGGGCGUAAAGCGCGCGUAGGUGGUUUGUUAAGUUGGAUGUGAAAUCCCCGGGCUCAACCUGGGAACUGCAUUCAAAACUGACUGACUAGAGUAUGGUAGAGGGUGGUGGAAUUUCCUGUGUAGCGGUGAAAUGCGUAGAUAUAGGAAGGAACACCAGUGGCGAAGGCGACCACCUGGACUAAUACUGACACUGAGGUGCGAAAGCGUGGGGGAGCAAACAGGAUUAGAUACCCUGGUAGUCCACGCCGUAAACGAUGUCAACUAGCCGGUUGGAAGCCUUGAGCUUUUAGUGGCGCAGCUAACGCAUUAAGUUGACCGCCUGGG